rnacentral:rRNA from 1 species
AGACCCGAAACCCGGUGAUCUAGCCAUGGGCAGGUUGAAGGUUGGGUAACACUAACUGGAGGACCGAACCGACUAAUGUUGAAAAAUUAGCGGAUGACCUGUGGCUGGGGGUGAAAGGCCAAUCAAACCGGGAGAUAGCUGGUUCUCCCCGAAAGCUAUUUAGGUAGCGCCUCGUGAAUUCAUCUCCGGGGGUAGAGCACUGUUUCGGCUAGGGGGCCAUCCCGGCUUACCAACCCGAUGCAAACUGCGAAUACCGGAGAAUGUUAUCACGGGAGACACACGGCGGGUGCUAACGUCCGUCGUGAAGAGGGAAACAACCCAGACCGCCAGCUAAGGUCCCAAAGUCAUGGUUAAGUGGGAAACGAUGUGGGAAGGCCCAGACAGCCAGGAUGUUGGCUUAGAAGCAGCCAUCAUUUAAAGAAAGCGUAAUAGCUCACUGGUCGAGUCGGCCUGCGCGGAAGAUGUAACGGGGCUAAACCAUGCACCGAAGCUGCGGCAGCGACACUAUGUGUUGUUGGGUAGGGGAGCGUUCUGUAAGCCUGCGAAGGUGGCCUGUGAGGGUUGCUGGAGGUAUCAGAAGUGCGAAUGCUGACAUAAGUAACGAUAAAGCGGGUGAAAAGCCCGCUCGCCGGAAGACCAAGGGUUCCUGUCCAACGUUAAUCGGGGCAGGGUGAGUCGACCCCUAAGGCGAGGCCGAAAGGCGUAGUCGAUGGGAAACGGGUUAAUAUUCCCGUACUUGGUGUUACUGCGAAGGGGGGACGGAGAAGGCUAUGUUGGCCGGGCGACGGUUGUCCCGGUUUAAGCGUGUAGGUGUGUGUUCCAGGUAAAUCCGGUUCACUUUAACACUGAGGCGUGACGACGAGGCACUACGGUGCUGAAGCAACAAAUGCCCUGCUUCCAGGAAAAGCCUCUAAGCAUCAGGUAACAUCAAAUCGUACCCCAAACCGACACAGGUGGUCAGGUAGAGAAUACCAAGGCGCUUGAGAGAACUCGGGUGAAGGAACUAGGCAAAAUGGUGCCGUAACUUCGGGAGAAGGCACGCUGACACGUAGGUGAAGUGAUUUACUCACGGAGCUGAAGUCAGUCGAAGAUACCAGCUGGCUGCAACUGUUUAUUAAAAACACAGCACUGUGCAAACACGAAAGUGGACGUAUACGGUGUGACGCCUGCCCGGUGCCGGAAGGUUAAUUGAUGGGGUCAGCGCAAGCGAAGCUCCUGAUCGAAGCCCCGGUAAACGGCGGCCGUAACUAUAACGGUCCUAAGGUAGCGAAAUUCCUUGUCGGGUAAGUUCCGACCUGCACGAAUGGCGUAAUGAUGGCCAGGCUGUCUCCACCCGAGACUCAGUGAAAUUGAACUCGCUGUGAAGAUGCAGUGUACCCGCGGCAAGACGGAAAGACCCCGUGAACCUUUACUAUAGCUUGACACUGAACAUUGAGCCUUGAUGUGUAGGAUAGGUGGGAGGCUUU